rnacentral:rRNA from 1 species
UACGUAGGGGGCAAGCGUUGUCCGGAUUUAUUGGGCGUAAAGAGCGUGUAGGCGGCUGGGUAGGUCUGCUGUGAAAACUCGAGGCUCAACCUCGAGACGUCGGCGGAAACCCUCCAGCUAGAGUCCGGAAGAGGAGAGUGGAAUUCCUGGUGUAGCGGUGAAAUGCGCAGAUAUCAGGAAGAACACCCGUGGCGAAAGCGGCUCUCUGGGACGGUACUGGCGCUGAGACGCGAAAGCGUGGGGAGCGAACAGG